rnacentral:rRNA from 1 species
GAUGAACGCUGGCGGCGUGCUUAACACAUGCAAGUCGAACGGUGAAGGCGGAGCUUGCUCUGCUGGAUCAGUGGCGAACGGGUGAGUAACACGUGAGCAAUCUGCCCCUGACUCUGGGAUAAGCGCUGGAAACGGCGUCUAAUACUGGAUACGAGCUGCGCAGGCAUCUUCAGCAGCUGGAAAGAACUUCGGUCAGGGAUGAGCUCGCGGCCUAUCAGCUUGUUGGUGAGGUAACGGCUCACCAAGGCGUCGACGGGUAGCCGGCCUGAGAGGGUGACCGGCCACACUGGGACUGAGACACGGCCCAGACUCCUACGGGAGGCAGCAGUGGGGAAGAUUGCACAAUGGGCGAAAGCCUGAUGCAGCAACGCCGCGUGAGGGACGACGGCCUUCGGGUUGUAAACCUCUUUUAGCAGGGAAGAAGCGAGAGUGACGGUACCUGCAGAAAAAGCGCCGGCUAACUACGUG